rnacentral:lncRNA from 1 species
AAACAUUAUAAGACCUCACAUAGAUUUUGUAUAGAUAUGAAUAUGGUAUAAGGAAAAAAAAAAUAGCAUUUAAACCAUUCAGGUAUCCUCAUUUCCAGUUUGAAGGCAAGGAGAAUAGCACUAAAUGUUAGGUUGACGUAUAUUUAUUUGAACUUAAAACAUUACACUGGUACAUUUUAUAAGUUAAACCUGUACCACCUGUUGCAAGAAGGUAGGUGUCAAAAAACUUAUAACUUGUACAAAAACCCUGUACAAAUUAUAAUUUGUACAAACUUACAUCUUGUACACAACAUAUAUAAC